AUUGAACGCUGGCGGCGUGCUUAACACAUGCAAGUCGAUCGGUAACAGGUGUAGCAAUACAUGCUGACGAGAGGCGGACGGGUGAGGAAUAUUUGGGAAUCUGCCCAUCAGCGGGGGACAACCCGGGGAAACCCGGGCUAAUACCGCAUACGCUCUACGGAGGAAAGCCGGGGACCGCAAGGCCUGGCACUGAUGGAUGAGCCCAAAUCGGAUUAGCUAGUUGGCGGGGUAACGGCCCACCAAGGCGACGAUCCGUAGCUGGUCUGAGAGGACGAUCAGCCACACCGGAACUGAGACACGGUCCGGACUCCUACGGGAGGCAGCAGUGGGGAAUAUUGGACAAUGGGGGAAACCCUGAUCCAGCGACGCCGCGUGGGUGAAGAAGGCCUGCGGGUUGUAAAGCCCUUUCGGUAGGGACGAAAGCUCUUGCUCUAACAAAGCAGGAGGUUGACUUAACCUACAUAAGAAGCACCGGCUAACUCUGUGCCAGCAGCCGCGGUAAUAC
rnacentral:rRNA from 1 species